rnacentral:rRNA from 1 species
GAUGAACGCUGGCGGCGUGCUUAACACAUGCAAGUCGAACGGAAAGGCCCUGCUCUUGCUGGUUGCUCGUUUGGCGCACGGGUGAGUAACACGUGAGUAUCCUGCCCUUGACUUUGGGAUAACUUCAGGAAACUGGGGCUAAUAUCGGAUAUGAUCUCCUGCUGCAUGUUGGUGGUUGGAAAGUUUCGGCGGUUGUGGAUGGACUCGCGGCUUAUCAGCUUGUUUGUGAGGUAGGGGCUUACCAAGGCUUUGACGGGUAGCCGGCCUGAGAGGGUGACCGGGGACAUUGGGACUGCGAUAGGGCGCAGUCGGCAAUGGGAGGCAGCAGUGGGGAAUCUUGCGGAGUGGGCCGACGCGAGAUGCAGCAGCGUCGCGUGCGGGAUGACGUCCUACGAGGUGUAAACAACUUUCGAAUGUGACGAGGCGUGAGUGACGGUAAUUGGUAAAGAAGCACCGGCUAACUACGUG